rnacentral:rRNA from 1 species
GGGUGAGUAACACGUAUCCAACCUGCCGUCUACUCUUGGACAGCCUUCUGAAAGGAAGAUUAAUACAAGAUGGCAUCAUGAGUCCGCAUGUUCACAUGAUUAAAGGUAUUCCGGUAGACGAUGGGGAUGCGUUCCAUUAGAUAGUAGGCGGGGUAACGGCCCACCUAGUCUUCGAUGGAUAGGGGUUCUGAGAGGAAGGUCCCCCACAUUGGAACUGAGACACGGUCCAA